rnacentral:rRNA from 1 species
UACAGAGGGUGCGAGCGUUAAUCGGAAUUACUGGGCGUAAAGCGCACGUAGUCGGCUUUGCAAGUCGGUUGUGAAAUCCCCGGGCUCAACCUGGGAACUGCAUCCGAGACUGCAUUGCUAGAGUAUGGGAGAGGGAAGCGGAAUUUCUGGUGUAGCAGUGAAAUGCGUAGAUAUCAGAAGGAACAUCAGUGGCGAAGGCGGCUUCCUGGACCAAUACUGACGAUCAGGUGGCGAAAGCGUGGGGAGCAAACAGG